UACAGAGGGGGCAAGCGUUAUUCGGAAUUAUUGGGCGUAAAGGGCGCGUAGGCGGCCUGGCAAGUGGAAGGUGAAAUCCCUCGGCUUAACCGAGGAACUGCCUCCCAAACUGCUUGGCUUGAGACCGGGAGAGGUGAGUGGAAUUCCCAGUGUAGCGGUGAAAUGCGUAGAUAUUGGGAGGAACACCAGUGGCGAAGGCGGCUCACUGGUCCGGUACUGACGCUGAGGUGCGAAAGCGUGGGGAGCAAACAGGG
rnacentral:rRNA from 1 species